rnacentral:rRNA from 1 species
AAACCAGCACCUCAAGUGGUCAGGAGGUUUAUUGGGCCUAAAGCAUCCGUAGCCUGAUCUAUAAGUUUCCGGUUAAAUCCAAAUGCUCAACAUUUGGGCUGCCGGAAAAACUGUAGAUCUAGGGAGUGGGAGAGGUAGACGGUACUCGGUAGGAAGGGGUAAAAUCCUUUGAUCUAUUGAUGACCACCAGUGGCGAAGGCGGUCUACCAGAACACGUUCGACGGUGAGGGAUGAAAGCUGGGGGAGCAAACCGGAUUAGAAACCCGGGUAGUCC